rnacentral:rRNA from 1 species
GGGUUGUGAGGUUAAGCGACUAAGCGUACACGGUGGAUGCCCUGGCAGUCAGAGGCGAUGAAGGGCGUGCUAAUCUGCGAUAAGCGCCGGUAAGGUGAUAUGAACCGUUAUAACCGGCGAUACCCGAAUGGGGAAACCCAGUGUGACUCGUCACACUAUCAUUAACUGAAUCCAUAGGUUAAUGAGGCGAACCGGGGGAACUGAAACAUCUAAGUACCCCGAGGAAAAGAAAUCAACCGAGAUUCCCCCAGUAGCGGCGAGCGAACGGGGAGGAGCCCAGAGCCUGAAUCAGCAUGUGUGUUAGUGGAAGCGUCUGG